GGCCACCACCCGCUUCAAAAUGGCUUCCCUCAGGGAGAGGCGUGGGCUAACGACAAAGUAUAGACUCUAAAUCCUUCCUUGGAUGGAUCAUACCACAGAGUUCAGGAGAUGGAAGGCGCAGUGUCUGAGCAAAGCUGACCUCAGCCGGAAGGGCAGUGUGGACGAGGACGUGGUAGAACUUGUACAGCUCCUGAAUGGGCGAGAACCGUACUUCACCACCAGUUCCUGCGCUGGGCGCAUCAUCCUCCUAGAUGGGGAUAUAAAUGGUUUUGAGGUUCAAAAGCAAAACCGUUGCUGGCUACUGGUUACACAUAAACCUUGUGUAAAGGAUGAUGUGAUGGCAGCUCUGAAGAAAGCAAAUGGUGAUGCCAUUUUGAAAUUUGAACCACUCGUUCUUCAUGUGCAGUGUCGACAGUUGCAGGAUGCACAGAUUCUGCAUUCAGUGGCAAUAGAUUCUGGUUUCAGGGACUCCGGCAUCACCGUGGGAAAGAGAGGAAAGACUAUGUUGGCUAUCCGGAGCACACAUGGCUUAGAAGUUCCAUUAAGCCAUAAGGGAAAACUGAUGGUGACUGAGGAAUAUAUUGACUUCCUGUUAAAGAUAGCAAAUCAAAAAAUGGAGGAAAACAAGAAGAGAAUUGAAAGGCUUUAUAACUGCCUACAGCAUGCUUUGGAAAAAGAAAACAUUACUAACGCACGUCCCAAAGAGAAAAUCAAAGACAAAAAAUAAAUCAUCGUAUACUCGUAAGAAGGAAAGAAACCCAGAAGAAGCACACAGCAAAUGUUUUACUGAAGAAAAUGUUAAAGAAUGUGAAAAUGAUGAUGCCCUAGGAAUCAGUGUUACUAUCUUCCCUGAAGAUUAA